rnacentral:rRNA from 1 species
AUUGAACGCUGGCGGCAGGCCUAACACAUGCAAGUCGAGCGGAGCGGCGGACGGGGGAGUAAUGCCUAGGAAUCUGCCUGGUAGUGGGGGAUAACGUCCGGAAACGGGCGCUAAUACCGCAUACUAUCAGAAGAGCCUAGGUCGGAUUAGCUAGAUGGGGGGGUAAAGGCCUACCAAGGCGACGAGACGUAACUGGUCUGAGAGGAUGAUCAGUCACACUGGAACUGAGACACGGUCCAGACUCCUACGGGAGGCAGCAGUGGGGAAUAUUGGACAAGGGGCGAAAGCCGGAUCCAGCCAUGCCGCGUGUAUGAAGAAGGCCUUCGGGUUGUAAAGUACUUUCAGCGGGGAGGCGUUACCCGCAGAAGAAGCACCGGCUAACUCCGUGCCAGCAGCCGCGGUAAUUC